rnacentral:tRNA from 1 species
GCCCGUGUAGCUCAGCGGAAAGAGCGCCUGUUUCCGGAACAGGAGGGCCCGCGUUCGAAUCGCGGCACGGGCA